rnacentral:rRNA from 1 species
GACGAAGGGGGCUAGCGUUGUUCGGAAUUACUGGGCGUAAAGCGAGUGUAGGCGGUUGUUCAAGUCAGGUGUGAAAGCCUUGAGCUCAACUCAAGAAAUGCACUUGAUACUGGAUGACUAGAGGACCGGAGAGGAUAGUGGAAUUCCCAGUGUAGUGGUGAAAUACGUAGAGAUUGGGAAGAACACCAGUGGCGAAGGCGGCUAUCUGGACGGUUACUGACGGCUAAGACUCGAAAGCGUGGGGAGCAAACAGG